UACGAAGGGGCUAGCGUUGCUCGGAAUCACUGGGCGUAAAGCGCACGUAGGCGGAUUGUUAAGUCAGGGGUGAAAUCCUGGAGCUCAACUCCAGAACUGCCUUUGAUACUGAGGAUCUUGAGUACGGGAGAGGUGAGUGGAACUGCGAGUGUAGAGGUGAAAUUCGUAGAUAUUCGCAAGAACACCAGUGGCGAAGGCGGCUCACUGGCCCGUAACUGACGCUGAGGCACGAAAGCGUGGGGAGCAAACAGGG
rnacentral:rRNA from 1 species